rnacentral:rRNA from 1 species
CAGUCGCCGCGGGAAUACAGAGGGUGCGAGCGUUAAUCGGAUUUACUGGGCGUAAAGCGUGCGUAGGCGGCUUCUUAAGUCGGAUGUGAAAUCCCUGAGCUUAACUUAGGAAUUGCAUUCGAUACUGGGAAGCUAGAGUAUGGGAGAGGAUGGUAGAAUUCCAGGUGUAGCGGUGAAAUGCGUAGAGAUCUGGAGGAAUACCGAUGGCGAAGGCAGCCAUCUGGCCUAAUACUGACGCUGAGGUACGAAAGCAUGGGGAGCAAACAGGAUUAGAGACCCCCGUAGUCCCUGUCUUUUAUAA